CGGAGAAGGCUAUGUUGGCCGGGCGACGGUUGUCCCGGUUUAAGCGUGUAGGCUGGUUUUCCAGGCAAAUCCGGAAAAUCAAGGCUGAGGCGUGAUGACGAGGCACUACGGUGCUGAAGCGACAAAUGCCCUGCUUCCAGGAAAAGCCUCUAAGCAUCAGGUAACAUCAAAUCGUACCCCAAACCGACACAGGUGGUCAGGUAGAGAAUACCAAGGCGCUUGAGAGAACUCGGGUGAAGGAACUAGGCAAAAUGGUGCCGUAACUUCGGGAGAAGGCACGCUGAUAUGUAGGUGAAGCGACUUGCUCGUGGAGCUGAAAUCAGUCGAAGAUACCAGCUGGCUGCAACUGUUUAUUAAAAACACAGCACUGUGCAAACACGAAAGUGGACGUAUACGGUGUGACGCCUGCCCGGUGCCGGAAGGUUAAUUGAUGGGGUUAGCGGUAACGCGAAGCUCUUGAUCGAAGCCCCGGUAAACGGCGGCCGUAACUAUAACGGUCCUAAGGUAGCGAAAUUCCUUGUCGGGUAAGUUCCGACCUGCACGAAUGGCGUAAUGAUGGCCAGGCUGUCUCCACCCGAGACUCAGUGAAAUUGAACUCGCUGUGAAGAUGCAGUGUACCCGCGGCAAGACGGAAAGACCCCGUGAACCUUUACUAUAGCUUGACACUGAACAUUGAGCCUUGAUGUGUAGGAUAGGUGGGAGGCUUUGAAGUGUGGACGCCAGUCUGCAUGGAGCCGACCUUGAAAUACCACCCUUUAAUGUUUGAUGUUCUAACGUGGGCCCCUUACCGGGGUUGCGGACAGUGUCUGGUGGGUAGUUUGACUGGGGCGGUCUCCUCCUAAAGAGUAACGGAGGAGCACGAAGGUUGGCUAAUCCUGGUCGGACAUCAGGAGGUUAGUGCAAUGGCAUAAGCCAGCUUGACUGCGAGCGUGACGGCGCGAGCAGGUGCGAAAGCAGGUCAUAGUGAUCCGGUGGUUCUGAAUGGAAGGGCCAUCGCUCAACGGAUAAAAGGUACUCCGGGGAUAACAGGCUGAUACCGCCCAAGAGUUCAUAUCGACGGCGGUGUUUGGCACCUCGAUGUCGGCUCAUCACAUCCUGGGGCUGAAGUAGGUCCCAAGGGUAUGGCUGUUCGCCAUUUAAAGUGGUACGCGAGCUGGGUUUAGAACGUCGUGAGACAGUUCGGUCCCUAUCUGCCGUGGGCGCUGGAGAACUGAGGGGGGCUGCUCCUAGUACGAGAGGACCGGAGUGGACGCAUCACUGGUGUUCGGGUUGUCAUGCCAAUGGCACUGCCCGGUAGCUAAAUGCGGAAGAGAUAAGUGCUGAAAGCAUCUAAGCACGAAACUUGCCCCGAGAUGAGUUCUCCCUGACUCCUUGAGAGUCCUGAAGGAACGUUGAAGACGACGACGUUGAUAGGCCGGGUGUGUAAGCGCAGCGAUGCGUUGAGCUAACCGGUACUAAUGAACCGUGAGGCUUAACCUUACAACGCCGAAG
rnacentral:rRNA from 1 species